CUGCAUUGCUUUUUCUGCUUAUUUGGUUUUUUUGUUGUUUUUUUUUUGUCAGUUUGUUUGUUUCUGUUUGCUUUUAAGCUACCUUAUUUACAGAGGAGGAGUUGCCAUUAUAUGAAGGCUUUUAGAAAGCCUGCUGCCCAGCACCAAAAGAUCUUGGAGUUCUUAAGGCCAUGUGCUCCCAGCCUGGCCUCUGUGUUGUAACUUUCUCUGCAGUGUGGGUAAUUUCGCCCCAGCACAUUUCUUCAGGGCCAGGAGCUGUGCACAUGCAGGGUUCUGCUGCCCCAUUGCUUGUUCCAGCAACACGAAACCAGAGUGUCCCCCUGUGAAACAGUAAUCGCUCCACAGCUCCCUGGCUGCCUACCCUCAGCUCCUCGGGAUCUUGUAUCCACAGCUCCCCACAGCCUCAGCUUUCACACCUGGAAUUCACCCUCGAUUUCUUCUUUAAACUUGAUACAGUAUUUAACUACUUCAUCUAUGGCUUCAGUAACAUUCUGCUAAACUGAGUUUAAGGUGAAUGGUUGACGACUGUGUUAAAUGCUUUCUUAAAAUACACUGACGAGCCACAUUUUCAUUUAAAUAGCACUUCUGAUUAAUUAAUAAUCUCUGUGAAUAUGGUAAUUGCAGUUGUGUUGCCAGGAAGAGAUUCAUUUGCAUUGAGAACAAGGGUCAGAACUUUUCUGCCAAGUGCAUUUCAGUCUUCAGCAAAGUUGAGAAAUAACAUCCAGAAUACACAGAUGAGUCGAUCCUCCUGUUGCCUUUGUUGCUGGGAACAAGUCCAUUUAUAUCCAAGUGAGCAGAUUCGGUGUUUGAGAUUCAGGCAACUUUUUUCAUACAUCAGAAAAAAUUCUAAAAAUUUUAAGAAAUCUUCAUUAAACCAUUAAUCAGCACUCCACUCUGUUUCAUGUCCUUAUAGUGUUUCUUCAGUUUAACUCACCUUUUGAAUUUUUGGAUCUCUUCUCUUGUGAACAGUGUUUUGGGCAUCUGUCUCUCUGCUCAGUGCCAGUUGUACUUUUCCAUACCAUUUGGAAACAGCUUUCUUCUUUUGCAUUUGGGAUCUUAGUGUUCUUUUCAGCAAAGUCAGUGAACUCAUCAUCUUCAAAUUUAGAACUAUUACUGCUGCUUCUCAAAAUAGUCUCUGGAUUAAUUUUGGGUGCAUGUUCUUUCAUCAGACAUGCAUGGCGGCAUAUGCCACCUUAUAGCAUAAAUAAUUGUAUUGACUAGUUACUAAUUGCUGGUAGCUUUCUGGAGAAAAUUUGCUAAUGUAGAAUGUGAAUCAAGGUGUUCAUACCCAUGAGGUUCAGCUUUAAGCCUAGCUCUGCUCACAUGCACAAGGGAGCAUGUGGGAGAGAUAAAUUCUGUGCUUUCUUUGUGUAGCUCAUCUGGCUGGCUGGGUUAGGCAGGAGAAAGCACUGGAGCAGGAUGGUUAUUCCUGCUCAAACAGCAGAGCUGUCAGGCACAACUGCAUGGUGUUGCUGUUUUGCUUUUCUGCACAACAGAUAUCCUGGAUGUAAAAAUAAAAAAAAAAGAGCCAUGAAAUAGUUGGCUUUUCCUAUGGCAUCCUAAAUAAGAUUUAUUUAUAGUUUUAUUCCUGUCUGGGUUGAACCUUUUCUGCAGGUCACUCUUGUAAAAGCUGAACUUCUCUAUAACAUAAGCACAGAUAUCUGAGAGCAGGAGUCAGGUAUCCCAUGGUUCUUCAGCCUUCCCUGUCUGUAAAAAACAGUGGCAGGAGCAGGGCAAAAUACCUGUCUCUGUUCAUUUCAAUAGAGGGCCAUGAAAAGAAAUUCUGGAAUUCUGCUUCUCUCCAGCAGUGUCUUCCCUAUGCUUUGGGAUGGCCCUUCCAUACUGUGCUUCUCCCAGUCUUCUUUGAACUGGUUCUUACCUCUCACUUCUUUUUGCUGCUUUACUGCUUGGUUUGGGCUUGUCUUUGUUUGUUUUUUUUUUCUUCUUGCUAAUGUGUCAUGCUUUUUAUUUCAUCUGAAGAACAGAUUUCAGUUUACAUCACUGAGAGCUUCAAUGCUAUUAAAUAACUUUGUUUCAAUAUGAGAAUGCAAAUUAAGACAGGGAAGGAACAUGUUGCAUAAUUAUUAGUUUAAAAACAUCGUGAGGGUAAGUUUAAGCCUGAAGUCCUAGCAAAAAAAUACAUUGCACUUAGCUGACUAAUUAGACCUUAGACUCAAGGUGAAAAAUGCAGGCAGACAGCUGGGUAUGGCAAGAUGGACUUCCCAACUGAAAUUCUUUGGUAAAAUUCACGUGGCUUUUUAUUUAUUUGCACUUGCUGGAUUAUUUUGAGAGCACUGGACAAGAAAAUAUUGACUCAUUCUUCCAUCAUACUUCCCUUAAUUAUUUAUGUUGUGGCUUAUUCCACCAAUUUAAGAGUAGAAAUGCUUUUUUUUUUCCUCUCCAGCAAUUUUGUAAAUUACGUUUUGCCUAUGACACUGAAAUUGUCUUUGCAAUCUGAAGCUUAAUGGAAGAAACUAUUUUCUGAGGGAAAGGUAUCAUGAUUGGUUUUGUGUUUAACUUGAUAAUUUGUAUGUAUGUAUAUAUAUGCACAUAUAUAUAUAAAAUAUGUAGAUAGCAUGGUUAAAUUGGAGAUUUCUAAUACAGCAUGUGGCAUCAGGCCUUGUAAUGGCUGUAUUAAAGUGAAAUGUACAAAUUGCUACUUAUAGGAACUUUGAUCCUGAAUAGCUUUAAAAAUGUGACCUUUCAAAACUGAAUUUAAAAUAUGACUUAAAAAAAAAUAUCCCAGCAGCCAGCUGUUCCUGGGGAUCUCUUAGUACCGGGAAGCAUUUCACUGGUUUCAGUGGUGCCUUCCCAGCCUACAGUUUCACUUACUGACAGAAACCUGUUCCUUCUCCCCACCCAUGUCUAGGAACUGCUGUCAGACUUUUAAAACACCAGUCUUAACCACAUGCCUUAUUUGCUUAUGGUCAAGCCCUGGAACUUCUUGCUGACUUUCUGUGCCAGAAAAUGACCUGUGAGGGAAACAGGCUGUGGUAUAGAGUUUUGAUGUUCCUACACGUUACAUGCUGUACCUGCACUCAUAAAUGAAAAAAAAAAAGGUUACAAAAGUACGAUCUCUUGCAACCCUUAGGAUAGGAGCAAGGUAAAGAUCUGCAGAAGACCUGGGGUCUGCCAAGGCCUGCUAUUGCACUUCUGUAAAUCUGGACAGUGUACAGUGCUUUAAAUUAGGUGCCUGGUCUGUGAAGAGUUUUUGGAAGGACCAGGAAGUGCUGUUACAACAUUUCAUUAGUGUUUGAUUCUCUUGUGGUCUCUGAAUCUUUCCUUUGAUGUCUUUUCCCAGGAGAAAAUUAGCUAUUUGAAGUAUUUAAGCUGUUGUUUUUUCCAGGAAAACAGGAAAUAAUACUAAUGUGUUAAUCUUUAACUUGUAAUGGGAUGUGCUAGAGUAAUGUGACCCUCCAAAGUGCUUGGGGCAUCCUGUAGGCUUUGUCCACAAGUGAUGUAGUGUGGGAAGCCUGACUUCUAUCCAGCCUGGGUAAAGUGAAAUAACAGUAGAUACUUUCCAAGUUUUAUUGGUUUUCUACACAAUUUCUAAUAGCCUUGAUGAUACCUGAACAGUGUCAGAUAAUUUUCUAAUGUAAAAAUCCCAGUUUAAUAUGUCUGUACAUACAUUCCCAGUGUAAACACCCAUUGCUCCUUGCCUUUUUGUAUGCUGUCAGGAUGUGCAUACUGUGUAUACGUAACUGCUGGACUGUGCACCCUUGCACAAAAGCCUGAAUAAACGGGUUUUAACGUUCA